UGCUACAGAAGCUAAAAAAUAGCGUUGGUCUUGUAAAUCAAAGGUUGGAAUUUUAUCUCCCUUAGCAU
rnacentral:tRNA from 1 species